rnacentral:rRNA from 1 species
UUAGCCUACGGGACGCAGCAGUGGGGAAUAUUGGACAAUGGAGGGAACCCUGAUCCAGCGACGCCGCGUGAGUGAAGAAGUAUUUCGGUAUGUAAAGCUCUAUCAGCAGGGAAGAAAGAAAUGACGGUACCUGACCAAGAAGCCCCGGCUAACUACGUGCCAGCAGCCGCGGUAAUACGUAGGGGGCAAGCGUUAUCCGGAUUUACUGGGUGUAAAGGGGGCGCAGACGGCAAUGCAAGCCAGGAGUGAAAGCCCGGGGCCCAACCCCGGGACUGCUCUUGGAACUGCAUGGCUGGAGUACAGGA